CUUAGAAAAGUAAAUGUCAAAAACAUUUUUUAAAAGUGUUUCCACAAAUAGACUAUCACGAAUUAUUUUGUUGCAGGAUUCAGAAAAUGAUAUUUAGUAUCACUGAUCUGAGACUACUGAAGUCUCGGCUAAAAGUCUAAACCCUGCUCAAGUCCUGUCCACUCCCUUUGCCCCCCAGGUCCUUGUGAAGGCUGCUGUCUGGUUCAACACAUGUGUGUUUGGCUUUUCAGGAGUCAGUGACCUUCAAGGAUGUCAUAAAUUUCACCCAAGAGGAGUGGGGCUCUUGGACUCUUCUCAGAAGGAGCCGUACAGGGAGGUGAUUCUCAAGAACUAUAGCAACCGGUGUGCCUUGGACUCGCAGUCUCCAGACCGGACCUGAUCUCCCAUUUGAAGCAAGGGGAAGCAUCUUGCAUGGCAAGGAGAGACCUGGAGGCAAACACAUGGCCAGGAUUAUGUUUCAUAAGGAAAGUAGAUCAAAGGCAACAAAGGAAACAGGCUUCACAGCACUUCACUUAUAUACCAGUAACACUUCCUCCCUCUAAAGUUAACCAUUCUCUCUUUAACAAUGAGAGGAUUCAAACCAAUUCCAAUUGUUCAGUGAUGAAGAGAGCCACCUACAUCCAGAGAGAGGACUGUGGGACGGAGUGGGGAUUCCAACAUAGGAUUUUCAUGCUUUCUGUUGACGUUUGCUUGAAUUUUGUUUUCUUUCUCAGGUUUUUAUUAUAGAGCUGAUUUUUCUUAUGCAGCAAGAUAAACUGUAUAAAUUUGUACACAUAUGUUGGAUUUCACAUAUGCUUUAAUAUAUUUAACAUGUAUUGGUCUACCUGUCAUCUACGGGAGGGAGUAGGGGGAAGAAGGAAAAAAUUUGGAACAGAAAGUUUUGCAAGGAUGAAUGAUGAAAAAUUACCCAUAUAUAUAU